UACAGAGGUGGCAAGCGUUGUUCGGAUUUAUUGGGCGUAAAGAGCUCGUAGGCGGUUCGGUAAGUCAGGUGUGAAAUCUCCACGCUCAACGUGGAGGCGCCACCUGAAACUGCCGUGACUCGAGUCCGGUAGGGGAGUGUGGAAUUCCUGGUGUAGCGGUGAAAUGUGCAGAUAUCAGGAGGAACACCCGUGGCGAAAGCGGCUCUCUGGAACGGUACUGACGCUGAGACGCGAAAGCGUGGGGAGCGAACAGG
rnacentral:rRNA from 1 species